rnacentral:rRNA from 1 species
GUGGGGAAUCUUCCGCAAUGGACGAAAGUCUGACGGAGCAACGCCGCGUGAGUGAAGAAGGUUUUCGGAUCGUAAAGCUCUGUCUUUGAGGACGAAUGUGCUUAAUGUGAAUAAUGUUAAGUAAUGACGGUACUCGAGGAGGAAGCCACGGCUAACUACGUGCCAGCAGCCGCGGUAAUACGUAGGUGGCAAGCGUUGUCCGGAAUUAUUGGGCGUAAAGCGCGCGCAGGCGGGAUAUUAAGUCUGUCUUAAAAGUUCGGGGCUCAACCCCGUGAUGGGAUGGAAACUAAUAUUCUUGAGUGCAGGAGAGGAAAGUGGAAUUCCCAGUGUAGCGGUGAAAUGCGUAGAUAUUGGGAGGAACACCAGUGGCGAAGGCGACUUUCUGGACUGUGUCUGACGCUGAGGCGCGAAAGCCAGGGGAGUGAACGGG